GGAAAAAUAAGAAAACUGCACACUGCUCUGUCUAGUAUCACUGCGCUGGCUAGUAUCACUGCGCUGGCUAGUAUCACUGCUCUGGCUAGUAUCACUGCUCUGGCUAGUAUCACUGCUCUGGCUAGUAUCACUGCGCUGGCUAGUAUCACUGCGCUGGCUAGUAUCACUGCUCUGGCUAGUAUCACUGCGCUGGCUAGUAUCACUGCUCUGGCUAGUAUCACUGCUCUGGCUAGUAUCACUGCUCUGGCUAGUAUCACUGCGCUGGCUAGUAUCACUGCGCUGGCUAGUAUCACUGCUCUGGCUAGUAUCACUGCUCUGGCUAGUAUCACUGCUCUGGCUAGUAUCACUGCUCUGGCUAGUAUCACUGCUCUGGCUAGUAUCACUGCUCUGGCUAGUAUCACUGCUCUGGCUAGUAUCACUGCUCUGGCUAGUAUCACUGCGCUGGCUAGUAUCACUGCUCUGGCUAGUAUCACUGCUCUGGCUAGUAUCACUGCUCUGGCUAGUAUCACUGCGCUGGCUAGUAUCACUGCUCUGGCUAGUAUCACUGCGCUGGCUAGUAUCACUGCGCUGGCUAGUAUCACUGCGCUGGCUAGUAUCACUGCUCUGGCUAGUAUCACUGCUCUGGCUAGUAUCACUGCUCUGGCUAGUAUCACUGCUCUGGCUAGUAUCACUGCUCUGGCUAGUAUCACUGCGCUGGCUAGUAUCACUGCUCUGGCUAGUAUCACUGCUCUGGCUAGUAUCACUGCGCUGGCUAGUAUCACUGCUCUGGCUAGUAUCACUGCGCUGGCUAGUAUCACUGCUCUGGCUAGUAUCACUGCGCUGGCUAGUAUCACUGCGCUGGCUAGUAUCACUGCUCUGGCUAGUAUCACUGCUCUGGCUAGUAUCACUGCUCUGGCUAGUAUCACUGCUCUGGCUAGUAUCACUGCGCUGGCUAGUAUCACUGCUCUGGCUAGUAUCACUGCGCUGGCUAGUAUCACUGCUCUGGCUAGUAUCACUGCUCUGGCUAGUAUCACUGCUCUGGCUAGUAUCACUGCGCUGGCUAGUAUCACUGCUCUCUGGCUAGUAUCACUGCUCUCUGGCUAG
rnacentral:lncRNA from 1 species